rnacentral:lncRNA from 10 species
AGCUCUCUAACAAAGGACACAAUGGAAUGUGCCUGUUUUCAAAUUCCUGUAAAAAAGGGCCCUGGAAGACCUCCAAGCCUGCUCAGACAGACAUCAGCUGGAUGAAGCCCCAGGUUCAAACAAACUUGCCUUGGAUAUCAAAGUACUAGUAGCAAAGGAACUCCCAAUUCCUCACCUGCUGUGAAGUUUCCCAUUCACUGCAAGCAAAGUCCAGGUGAAAGCAAAGAUUCUUCACCCGCAGAAACCCUCUGGGCAGGCCAGGCACGGUGGCUCACGCCCAGAAUCCCAAUACUUUGGGAGGCCAAAGUGGGAGGAUUGCUUGAGCCCAGGAGUUCGAGACCAGCCUGGACAAUAUAGUGAGACCCCAUCUCUACAAAUAAUAAAAAAAAGUAGCCGGGCUUGGUGGCCCAUGCCUGUGGUCCCAGCUACUUGGGAGGCUGAGGCAAGAUGAUCGCCUGAGCCCAGGAGGUCGAGGCUGCAGUGAGCGACCGCAUCCUAGCCUGGGUGACAGAGUGAGACCCUGUCUCAAAAAAAUAAAUAAACAAAAAUAAAAAUAUACGUUUAUUCUA